rnacentral:lncRNA from 1 species
ACCCAGCCCUUCCAGAGGAACGACAUGGCCCAGCACCAAGCCACGAUUCAACCUAGAGUGGCCUGAGCAAAUGAACCUCGACUGGAGCGUCGCCUGGCUCAUACCAGCCUGUGAGCAGCUCCUCCGUAGGCUGUCCCGAUUACUAACAGAUGUGGGAGAACCCAAUCCAUGAUGGGUGGUGCCAUUAUUUGGUUUCAGACCCAGGGACAAGGGACUGAGGUG